GCUACCAUUCCGAACUGUCGCAAACCAAUGCGGCGUUCCGCAAGGAUAGGAGUGGUAGCUUUA
rnacentral:ncRNA from 1 species